AGCUUGCUAGAGAUGAUUAGUGGCGGACGGGUGAGUAACAUUUAGGAAUCUGCCUAGUAGUGGGGGAUAGCUCGGGGAAACUCGAAUUAAUACCGCAUACGACCUACGGGUGAAAGGGGGCGCAAGCUCUUGCUAUUAGAUGAGCCUAAAUCAGAUUAGCUAGUUGGUGGGGUAAAGGCCCACCAAGGCGACGAUCUGUAACUGGUCUGAGAGGAUGAUCAGUCACACCGGAACUGAGACACGGUCCGGACUCCUACGGGAGGCAGCAGUGGGGAAUAUUGGACAAUGGGGGCAACCCUGAUCCAGCCAUGCCGCGUGUGUGAAGAAGGCCUUUUGGUUGUAAAGCACUUUAAGCAGGGAGGAGAGGCUAAUGGUUAAUACCCAUUAGAUUAGACGUUACCUGCAGAAUAAGCACCGGCUAACUCUGUGCCAGCAGCCGCGGUAAUACAGAGGGUGCGAGCGUUAAUCGGAAUUACUGGGCGUAAAGCGAGUGUAGGUGGCUCAUUAAGUCACAUGUGAAAUCCCCGGGCUUAACCUGGGAACUGCAUGUGAUACUGGUGGUGCUAGAAUAUGUGAGAGGGAAGUAGAAUUCCAGGUGUAGCGGUGAAAUGCGUAGAGAUCUGGAGGAAUACCGAUGGCGAAGGCAGCUUCCUGGCAUAAUAUUGACACUGAGAUUCGAAAGCGUGGGUAGCAAACAGGAUUAGAUACCCUGGUAGUCCACGCCGUAAACGAUGUCUACUAGCCGUUGGGGUCCUUGAGACUUUAGUGGCGCAGUUAACGCGAUAAGUAGACCGCCUGGGGAGUACGGCCGCAAGGUUAAAACUCAAAUGAAUUGACGGGGGCCCGCACAAGCGGUGGAGCAUGUGGUUUAAUUCGAUGCAACGCGAAGAACCUUACCUGGUCUUGACAUAGUGAGAAUCCUGCAGAGAUG
rnacentral:rRNA from 1 species